CAAGGAAUUUUCGGCAAUGGGCGCAAGCCUGACCGAGCAACGCCGCGUGCGGGAUGACGGCCUUCGGGUUGUAAACCGCUUUUGGGGGGACGGACAUCGACGGUACCCUCCGAAUCAGCCCCGGCUAACUCUGUGCCAGCAGCCGCGGUAAGACAGAGGGGGCAAGCGUUGUCCGGAGUUACUGGGCGUAAAGCGCACGCAGGCGGUCACGCAAGUGGGGUGUGAAAGCCGGCAGCUUAACUGCCGGUCGCCAUCUCAGACUGCGCGACUCGAGUGGUGCAGAGGCUAUUCGAAUUGCCGGUGUAGUGGUGAAAUGCGUAGAGAUCGGCAGGAAGACCAAGGGGGAACCCAGGGUAGCCGGGGCACUGACUGACGCUCAGGUGCGAAAGCGUGGGGAGCGAACCGGAUUAGAUACCCGGGUAGUCCACGCCGUAAACGAUGGAUGCUCGGCGUCUGGGGCCAAUCUCGGCCCUGGGCGCCUCAGGUUACCCGUAAGCAUCCCGCCG
rnacentral:rRNA from 1 species